rnacentral:ncRNA from 16 species
UUUUGGCAACGACGUCAAGGUGCUUCCGCCGCGGCGGAAGGUAACAGGGAAUCGGGUGAGAAUCCCGAGCGGACCCGCCACUGUGACCGGACGAGUUGCCCUCCACGUCCGCCGAGGACGACGUCACUCGCGCCAAUGCGGGGAAGACGGAGGGCCGCGAUGACCCGGGAGCCAGGAGACCUACCUUGAUGGAAACGCCGAAA